rnacentral:rRNA from 1 species
AGCCCAAUACCUAGCCCAACCUUCCACUAUAAACCCUAAACUAAAAAAUCCGCUUACAAAAACUAAAUUAAAACAUUCUAACAGCUUAGUAUAGGCGAUAGAAAAGCACCCACACUGGCGCGAUAGUAAUUCCGUACCGUAAGGGAAAGAUGAAAUAAUAAUGAAAAUUUAAGCAAGAAACAGCAAAGAUGAACCCUUGUACCUUUUGCAUCAUGGUUUAGCAAGAACAACCAAGCAAAAUGACCUUAAGCUUGCCCCCCCGAAACCCAAGCGAGCUACUCGCAAGCAGCUAUAUCUGAGCGCACCCGUCUCUGUUGCAAAAGAGUGGGAUGACUUGCUAGUAGAGGUGAAAAGCCAAUCGAGCUGGGUGAUAGCUGGUUGCCUGUGAAUUGAAUUUAAGUUCACUCUUAAUCCUUCUCCACGGUACCACCUAUCCUUCAUGUAGUAGAUCAAGAGUAAUUUAAUGGAGGUACAGCUCCUUUAAAAAAGAAUACAACCUCCACUAGCGGAUAACCACACAACAUUAUAUCCCAACCUGUGGGCCUUCAAGCAGCCACCAACAAAGAGUGCGUCAAAGCUCACCCCUAAAAAAAUCCAAAAACAACAUGAUUCCCUUAACAACAACAGGCUAACCUAUAAUAAUAGGAGAAUUUAUGCUAAAACGAGUAACCUAGGGAACCUCCCUCUCAGGCGUAAGCUUACAUUAUCCCAUUAUUAACAGAUAAUCAAAUACCUCAACUUCAACGAGACUGAGUAUUACAACCUACCCUGUUAACCCAACUCAGGAGCGCCCAUUAGAAAGAUUUAAAUCUGUAAAAGGAACUAGGCAAACACGAAGGCUCGACUGUUUACCAAAAACAUAGCCUUCAGCCGAACAAGUAUUGAAGGUGAUGCCUGCCCAGUGACAUCAUGUUUAACGGCCGCGGUAUCCUAACCGUGCAAAGGUAGCGCAAUCAAUUGUCUCAUAAAUCGAGACUUGUAUGAAUGGCUAAACGAAGCCUCAACUGUCUCCUACAGAUAAUCAGUGAAACUGAUCUUCCUGUGCAAAAGCAAGAAUAACUUCAUAAGACGAGAAGACCCUGUGGAACUUUAAAAUCAGCGACCAUCCUACUAAAAUAGAACCUACAAGGCCCAUCAACCCCGACAGACACUGGUCCGCAUUUUUUGGUUGGGGCGACCUUGGAGAAAAACAAAACCUCCAAAAAUAAGACCACACCUCUUAACCAAGAGCAACACCUCAAUGUACAAACAGUAUCCAGACCCAGUAUAACUGAACAAUGAACCAAGCUACCCCAGGGAUAACAGCGCAAUCUCCUUCAAGAGCCCAUAUCGACGAGGAGGUUUACGACCUCGAUGUUGGAUCAGGACAUCCUAAUGGUGCAGCCGCUAUUAAGGGCUCGUUUGUUCAACGAUUAACAGUCCUACGUGAUCUGAGUUCAGACCGGAGCAAUCCAGGUCGGUUUCUAUCUAUGACCAACUUUUCCUAGUACGAAAGGACCGGAAAAGUAAGGCCAAUGCUACAGGUACGCCUUUCCUUUAAGUAAUGAACGCAACUAAAUUACCAAGAGGUAACACAUUUAUGUCCUAGAUAAGGACC